rnacentral:rRNA from 1 species
UACGUAGGGUGCAAGCGUUGUCCGGAAUUAUUGGGCGUAAAGAGCUCGUAGGCGGUCUGUCGCGUCUGCUGUGAAAACCUAGGGCUUAACUCUGGGCGUGCAGUGGGUACGGGCAGGCUAGAGUGCGGUAGGGGAGACUGGAAUUCCUGGUGUAGCGGUGAAAUGCGCAGAUACUGAGGAGACACCGGUGGCGAAGGCGGGAUCUCUGGGCCGAUACUGACGCUGAGGAGCGAAAGCGUGGGGAGCGAACAGG